UACGUAGGGUGCAAGCGUUGUCCGGAAUUAUUGGGCGUAAAGAGCUCGUAGGCGGUUUGUCGCGUCUGCCGUGAAAGUCCGGGGCUCAACUCCGGAUCUGCGGUGGGUACGGGCAGACUAGAGUGAUGUAGGGGAGACUGGAAUUCCUGGUGUAGCGGUGAAAUGCGCAGAUAUCAGGAGGAACACCGGUGGCGAAGGCGGGUCUCUGGGCCGAAACUGACGCUGAGGAGCGAAAGCGUGGGGAGCAAACAGG
rnacentral:rRNA from 1 species